GCAUGUUAAUGGGUGAGAAAGUUGCUAUACCAGAUGGAUACAGUGCAUUAUGUAUGUAUCAAAAGAAGCCCUUAUUUGAGAACAUGGCUCUCUAGCACACACUUGGGUUUGCAUGGGAAAGUACAAGCAGCUAUCUUCUCAGGGAGAAUCAUAAACCUGUCACUGAUGACCAGGAUAGAUCUUUUCGAGCUAUAAAAAGAUUUUCUGAAUUCACACAUUGGAAUCUUGAGGACAGGCCUUGUUUAAAUGACAAGAUCAGAAAGGCAAUGCAAUGGAUUUACAUUUCUUCAGCGAUACAUCAACCUGUGAAGACUGACACUGUUAUGGCAAAAAUUACAUGACAAUGGUCGAAGUGGUAAUUUCUAAUUCUUACCUCAGGGUGGAGAAGGAUGAUGUUUCAAAGUGUUCUUCCUCUGAUGAACUAGAAGAAGAAUGUACAUUUCAUUCAAUUUCAAUUUUUUAUUGAAAGUUUAUGUCAAUCAUAAUUGAUCGUUAAUCAUUUAUUCCGAUUGAUUUCAAUCCAAACCAAAAUCUGUAUAUAACAUGUACAUUGGAAAGCUACCAUUGGUGCUGCUUUCUUUAACAUACGUAGAUUGUGGAAGAGAAAGUGAGUUGUGGAUUGCUUGAAUAGUGUUAUCUUUUGUCUGCAACACAUGCGUAUAGUUCUUUAAAUUACAGCGAUCUCGUGGUUGUCUUUU